UACAGACGGCGCAAGCGUUAUCCGGAAUGAUUGGGCGUAAAGCGUCUGUAGGUGGUUCUCGAAGUCUACUGUCAAAUCCCAGGGCUCAACCUUGGACAGGCAGUGGAGAACUCGGGGACUCCGAGUACGGUAGGGGUAGAGGGAAUUCCCGGUGAAGCAGUGAAAUGCACAGAGAUCGGGAAGAACACCCAGUGGCGAAGGACCGCCUCCUAUCA
rnacentral:rRNA from 1 species